rnacentral:rRNA from 1 species
ACUCCUACGGGAGGCUGCAGUGGGGAAUAUUGCGCAAUGGGCGAAAGCCUGACGCAGCGACGCCGCGUGAGGGAUGAAGGCCUUCGGGUUGUAAACCUCUUUCAGCAGGGACGAAGCGAAAGUGACGGUACCUGCAGAAGAAGCACCGGCCAACUACGUGCCAGCAGCCGCGGUAAUACGUAGGGUGCAAGCGUUGUCCGGAAUUAUUGGGCGUAAAGAGCUCGUAGGCGGUUUGUCGCGUCGGCUGUGAAAACUCGGGGCUCAACCCCGAGCCUGCAGUCGAUACGGGCAAACUAGAGUGUGGUAGGGGAGACUGGAAUUCCUGGUGUAGCGGUGAAAUGCGCAGAUAUCAGGAGGAACACCGGCGGCGAAGGCGGGUCUCUGGGCCAUAACUGACGCUGAGGAGCGAAAGCGUGGGGAGCGAACAGGAUUAGAUACCCUGGUAGUCCACGCCGUAAACGUUGGGCGCUAGGUGUGGGGACCUUCCACGUCUUCGGUGCCGCAGCUAACGCAUUAAGCGCCCCGCCUGGGGAGUACGGCCGCAAGGCUAAAACUCAAAGGAAUUGGCGGGGGCCCGCACAAGCGGCGGAGCAUGUGGCUUAAUUCGACGCAACGCGAAGAACCUUACCUGGGUUUGACAUGCAGGGAAAUCUCAUAGAGAUAUGAGGUCCGCAAGGGUCCUGCACAGGUGGUGCAUGGCUGUCGUCAGCUCGUGUCGUGAGAUGUUGGGUUAAGUCCCGCAACGAGCGCAACCCUCGUUCUAUGUUGCCAGCGGAUAAUGCCGGGGACUCAUAGGAGACUGCCGGGGUCAACUCGGA